rnacentral:lncRNA from 1 species
UGUCUAAUGAGAAUGGAAUGCGACCACCUCCUGUCCAAAGAAUGGCUGCUGCAUUAGACUGGAAUAGUUGUGCAGUCAGGAUCCAUAUCAGCGUUGCACAGGCUGUGUUUACCUGUAAACCUCUGGCCUGCUGGAAGGUUACACAGGUUAUGUCGGAGAGCCAGAGAGCACGCGGGGACCGCAUGAUGAGCAACGACAGAGAAAGGCACGAUCAGAGUUAUGUUUUUAGACCUCUUAUUUGAAAGAAUUGGAUGGAUUUGCAGGAGCGUCUCACACUACCAUAUCUGGAGCCUCUCACAAUGUCCAGGAAUAAACUAGAGAGAAAGAAAAAAAAUGGCUUUCCAUGAGUGGUACCGGAUCCUGGCGAAUGGGUUCCAGAACGAAACAGUCCGGAACAGAGAGGUGCUGGUUCCUGUUCCGACAGGCUCAAAUGAAGCACCGCGCAUCAUCGUCUGGAAAGCCAUUUGGUUGAGGGAGUGGUUCUAUCUCUAUGCGCUGUGUGAACCGAUGGCAGAGAAUAAUGUCGACCAAUAACAUCUCCCAGGCCAGGAAGCUGGUGGAGCAGCUCCGCAUCGAGGUAUCUAAGGCAGCAGCAGAGCUGAUGAACUACUGUGAGAUGCACGCACACAGAGAUCCUCUGCUAGUGGGAUUGCCCACAUCUGGAAACCCCUUCAAGGACAAGAAGCCCUGCAUCAUCCUAUAGCUCCGCCCCAUCCCAUCCCUGGCCUGUCAAUCACUACCUUUGACCUCAAGACACUGUGGGAUGCUCCGUGAAACCCUAACCUCGAAGAGACUUUGAAGGAUAGAGAAGUGAUGCUAUAUACAAUACAUAUACAAUACAUAUAUAGUCAUGAUUGUGAGCUGAAUAGGUGAAAAUCAAAUGAAUGGGAAUCAUUGAUGCAACAGAUGCUUAGGCAGAAAAAGCGUUGUUGGGACGCAUUGGAAAACAGGAACGUUACCGGAUGAUACUGCAAGAGGAGCGGUGAAACACAUAAUUGGCAGAUACAAAUGAAGGAACUACAAGCACAAGGCUGUUGGCUUUGUGUUCAUCCAAACACAUUUUCUGUCAUUCAGGAUGUAACAUUGUCUGGCUAGAGAGAGAACCCAGCUAGCACAUUUGGUUCCAUUAAAGUUUUGUUGACGCUGAGAACAGAAUGUAUGUUUUAAAAUAACAUACUUAAAUGUUACUGUUUUCUUGUUGUUUUUAUGGAAAGUUUUCUUGAUGUUCUGAGAACAUGGCUUUAAAUAGAAUCAUGAGGAAACUUGCAGAAAAUGUUAUGCUGAAGUACUGAAAUUCCCACAGAAGAAUAUUUGUUUCUUAAAGUUCUCUGGACGUUCUGAGAACAUGACUUUAAAUAGCAUUGUGAGGAAACCUGCAGAAAACGUUAUGCUUAAGUACUGAAAUUCCCACAGAAGAACGUAGUUUCUUAAUUUCUUUGAACAAUUUAAGAACAUUACUUUAAAUCAGGGUUCCCCAACUGGUGGCCCAAGGCCCAAAUUUGGCCCGUGGGUGGUUUUAUUUGGCCCCCCCAAGUUUUCUAAGCAAAAAAUAAAUCGAAUUUUCAUCGUUGGACGUAAAAACUCUAGCUAAUUAGCUCAAAGUGAUUUUAAUUUAAAAAUCUGUUCCUAAGUAUUCCCACGCAUAAUAGAGAGGUUUGAAAUGAUUGUUUUAGUCAAACAUUACGUCUGAAAAAAAACGGCCCGCGGCUGAAUCUAUUUUAGUUGAUGUUCCCUGCUUUAAAUAGGAACAUGAGGAACCCUGUAGGAAACGUUAUGCCGAAGUAAUGAAAUUCCCACAUAAGAAACCUAUGGUUCUCAGAACGUUAUGUGCUAGCUGGGUAAGGUCAACAACUAAAAAACUAAAUUGUGUUUUAAUACAUGUAUAUUCUUCUAAUUCUCAAUGUUUUCCUGAAUCAGAAGUCAUUAUGUUAACUAUCUGUCCUAAUGCCAAUAAGGAAUGUAACAGUGUCUUUUUUCAUCAUUUGUCCUGCUUUCCCUCUUUUUUGGGGUACAAAUAACCACACCCUAUUUGGCAGAUGUAUUUUCCUCAAAACGCUUUCUUCUCCAAUGUUUCCAAUGAUCAUUGUGUCUAAUCCUUAAAAGCCUCUGUAAAGCCUUUGGUCCUUUAUCUGGGAAUGAAUGUAUCUUCGUGUCAAUGUUAAUGCCAUUUACUGUAAAAUUAUUCUUCCAGAUCAUCAGUCAUUAGGUUUGGUUAUUAAUGGUGACAAUUCUGUUCAUCUUUUAUUUUUUUAUUCAUCGCUUUGGUGCUCAUUUUUUUUUUAACUAAGUACAACACAAAAUCAUACAAUCACUUUUUCAAACUUAAUCAGUGUUUCAUCAAGAAAUGCAUGUUUCACGCUGCAGUACAUGUUUAUAUAAAGUUAUUGCCUUUCACAAUGCAA